rnacentral:rRNA from 1 species
AUAUCAAUAAGGCGAGGAACAGAAACCAACAGGGAUUCCCCCAGUAGUGGCGAAUGAAGCGGGAAAAGCUCAAGUUUGAAAUCUGAUGGGCGACCGUCAGAGUUGUAAGCUGAAGAGGUCUUGACCGACGUGGCUCGGGCUCAAUUCCCUUGGGAUAGGGAGUCAUGGAGGGUGAGAACCCCGUUCAUGGCCUGCACGCCUCCGUCCUUGUGUCUUCUCCUCGAAGAGUCGGGCUGUUUGGGAAUGCAGCUCAAAAUGGGUGGUAAAUUUCAUCUAAAGCUAAAUAUUGGCGAGAGACCGAUAGCGCACAAGUA